rnacentral:piRNA from 1 species
UGAUUAAUUUUAAGUUGUGUGAAUUUUAAU